CGAAACCAAAGCUGCGACCGGCGCACGGGUGAGUAACACGUAUCCAACCUGCCUCAUACUCGGGGAUAGCCUUUCGAAAGAAAGAUUAAUAUCCGAUAGCAUAUAUUUCCCGCAUGGGUUUUAUAUUAAAGAAAUUCGGUAUGAGAUGGGGAUGCGUUCCAUUAGUUUGUUGGGGGGGUAACGGCCCACCAAGACUACGAUGGAUAGGGGUUCUGAGAGGAAGGUCCCCCACAUUGGAACUGAGACACGGUCCAA
rnacentral:rRNA from 1 species